rnacentral:lncRNA from 1 species
AUAAAGUCAAUGUCAAAAUUAUGGUUAAAAGUAGAGAAGUUAAAACCCUAUUCUUAAAAAGAGCUUGUGGUUAAAAGCUCAAGAAAAGAUACCAAUAAUUGAAGUCCUUAUGAACAUCAAGGUUCAAAAUUUGUACCUAUACUGUCAAUUGACAUCAAUUGUCCACAUGGGUCCUCCUCAACCCACAUCUGGAAAAACCAAAAGUAGUUUCAAGAAAAUAAACAGAGAAAAAUUGAAAUAAAAGUAAUUGGGUCCACUAAAAAUUUUUCCCCCUCAAUCAAUUUAUACCUGUGUAUCCAUGUUCGGAGAAAGAGAAAAGAUGGAGAACUGUAAUGACAUCCUCAAUUGCAACGCCACAGAAACAUUAAACCACCAAAAAAGAGUAAGAUGAGAGUGAAAAGAACAAAGAGAAAGAGGCUCAAGCAUAGUUAAGGAUUAUACCUUCAAAAGAAUCACUGGACCCUUCUUCCUGUUUGUGUGAUGAUAAAUUUAUAUUCGCAGUGCUUCUACUUUCUUUUUAACUACCUUGCUACCAUCACCUUUUAUAAUUCUUUUUCUUCCUCCUUAAGAGACCUAUCUUGAAAUCUGGAGUGUCAGUGCCAGUAAGCUGAGACAAAACAUAGGUCAAAAGCUAUGAUGAUUCUAUAGUAUGAGAUUCCAGACUUGUGGUGUUCAAUCCAAAACCAAAAGGAAACCCGCUUACUCCAUUUGUCCCAAGCAUCUUCAAUAUCAAAAGGCCAUCCAAAACUAAAAGGAAACCCGCUUACUCCAUUUGUCCCAAGCAUCUUCAAUAUCAAAAGGCCAGUAGUUCUCAAGGUCAUAGAAGAAGUGAGGUUCUUAUUUCCCACAAUAGACACAAUAGACACAAAUGCCAGAGAAAGAUUUAUGAACAAGAAGUUUAUAUACUUGAAGAACUCGCAAGUGGUUCUCAAAAGCUAGUAUAUACCAAUCCUUACUCUUCAACUUCGGUACAGAAACUAAAAAGGAAUCUCUUUUCACAAAGGAAAAGAUAUGUAGGGGCAUCCAAUGUUCCAAGAAGAGGCAACUCAUAUGAUAAAUGAUUAAAUUACAAUUUCCUCCAACAAUUUAAAGGAUGAGUGGAAUUUUAAGGCUUCAAUUUCCAAUCUAAACCAGUUUCUGCUAACCAAGAGUUUAGCAUCAAGCAGACAACAUA